rnacentral:lncRNA from 1 species
AGAGCGGCCUAGCAGGCUCUCGAGAGUGAGGGAGGCACUGGGGCCCCUGCCGACUGCCCUGGCUGAGCCAGCCCGGCGUGAACGAAAGCCCGCCCCUGAGACCCCGUGACCCGGCGGCUCCUAGCCACAGGCUUCCUGACUACCUUAUAGGCACCCAGUCACAGUCAGCGCUAGCUCUGUCAAUCACCGUGGGCACCCAAUCAUCACGUGCUCCCAGUGCCUGUGGGACUCCUUGACAGCACGGGCUCCUGGACACCAUGUGCUUCCUAUCACCGUGGCUCCUGAACCACGUGCACCUGAUCACCCCAGGCUUGAGAUGACAGAGAUCCAGAGAUUGACGAUGAAGGUUAGACAACAAUCAAGUAUGUAUCCAGUAAAGGAGAAGACAUCCCAAUCUGUGAUCACUUCAAUCAAUACCAGAGGCCAGCAGAGACACAACUGAACAACUGGAAAGAACUUUAAAUCAAGGACAUUGUAGAAAAUGAACUUCCAUUAAAGGGACACAUAAGAUUGAAUCGGCAUACACAUUAACAUCACACUUAGGGAAUUACAUCCACAUGCACAUACAAAUAUGCAUAAGAAGAAAGAAGUUGAUUGACUCAUCAGGCAACAAGAGAAGUGGAAAUCCAGGGGAUAAUGUGAGUAUAUGCAUUCAUCACCACAUAUUUAGCACACAAAACAGGAAUUCACACUGACCUUAGGGGUUGAUUCCUAAAUAAGGACAGCCCAUAAAAUUGUAUAUUUGUAAAUAACUCUCUGGUAGAACUCAUGCAAAUAGGAAGGAAAAGACUUUCCUGUCUGAAUGACUUCAAACCAGAGUAUAUGCAUAUGUGUGUAUGUAUAUUUAUAUAUAUAUAUGUAUAUAUAUAUAAUGCACAUCAUAUGUAAUAUGUAUAGAGAAAAC